GACGAACGCUGGCGGCGUGCUUAACACAUGCAAGUCGAACGCUGAAGCUCAGCUUGCUGGGUGGCUGAGUGGCGAACGGGUGAGUAACACGUGAGUAACCUGCCCUCUUCUUUGGGAUAACGCCCGGAAACGGGUGCUAAUACUGGAUAUUCACUGAUUCUCGCAUGGGGGUUGGUGGAAAGGUUUUUUCUGGUGGGGGAUGGGCUCGCGGCCUAUCAGCUUGUUGGUGGGGUGAUGGCCUACCAAGGCUUUGACGGGUAGCCGGCCUGAGAGGGUGACCGGUCACAUUGGGACUGAGAUACGGCCCAGACUCCUACGGGAGGCAGCAGUGGGGAAUAUUGCACAAUGGGCGAAAGCCUGAUGCAGCGACGCCGCGUGAGGGAUGGAGGCCUUCGGGUUGUAAACCUCUUUCGCUCAUGGUCAAGCCGCAGCUUUGGGUUGUGGUGAGGGUAGUGGGUAAAGAAGCGCCGGCUAACUACGUG
rnacentral:rRNA from 1 species